rnacentral:rRNA from 1 species
CCUACGGGAGGCAGCAGUGGGGAAUAUUGCGCAAUGGGCGAAAGCCUUACGCAGCGACGCCGCGUGAAGGAAGAAGGCUUUCGGGUUGUAAACUUCUUUUCUCAGGGACGAAGAAAGUGACGGUACCUGAGGAAUAAGCCACGGCUAACUACGUGCCAGCAGCCGCGGUAAUACGUAGGUGGCAAGCGUUAUCCGGAUUUAUUGGGUGUAAAGUGCGUGUAGGCGGGAGCGCAAGUCAGAUGUGAAAACUCAGGGCUCAACCCUGAGCCUGCAUUUGAAACUGUGUUUCUUGAGUGCUGGAGAGGCAAUCGGAAUUCCGUGUGUAGCGGUGAAAUGCGUAGAGAUACGGAGGAACACCAGUGGCGAAGGCGGAUUGCUGGACAGUAACGGACGCUGAGGCGCGAAAGCGUGGGGAGCAAACAGGAUUAGAUACCCGGGUAGUC